GCUGCUGGAAGAAGGACAAGUUCUCUUUAUUUGGGAACAUUGUGCAGCGCUUUGGGAAAGUCAGUAAUGACUUGGAACUCGGAACGUCAGAAAAUGUCCAAGUUGGAAAAGUGCAGUGGAAAGUGAUGAAAUGAUUAAAGUCCAGGAGCAGGACACAGAUUCCUCAUCUGCUGCUCAUCCAUCAAGCUUCACUCCACCUGAUACACUCACACAGCCCUGAAGACAAACCAGGGCACUUCACCAAGGGGAAGUGGACAAGGGGACGAUGGGAAGGGCUCCAGAACCGGACAGAUCACAGAUCAGGAAUCUCAGACUUCUCAGGUUCCCGAGCAGAACCCUCUCAUGGAAGAUCGUGAACACGUCAUUUUCCAGAAACCUCGAAAGAACCUCGAAGAGCCACUGAGUUCCACAUCCACGUUCUGCGUCGUUUUCUAUACCAGCGAUGGUUCCAAGCAGAAUGUGUGUUCAUAAACACAGAACCCUUAAUUACCCAGUGAACCCCUGAACAGUGAGGAGCUGAGUCCUGAUGAAGAACUGAGCGCAGUAGUCCAGAGGAACGCUAGAGGGCAGUAUGGAGACUCCAGCAGAUGUUUUAUAUCUACACUGUAAUUUUCACUCACGCUGUCGAGAACCAUGAGGAUUUACAGCUAAAUAAAACUUCCCCUGAUUGUGUAUUGUUACUAACACACACAUACACACACACACACACAAUUUUACACCUGCAUCUGACAAAAUGGUGGUAGGAGAUUAUGUUCAUCAUGCUUAGUGUGUCUGUGUGUGUGUGUGUGUGUGUGUGUAAUAAAGACUCUGUGUGCAGGUUCCACUGUUCCACAGAGUGUCGUGUCUAUGGGAUCUGUGGAGCUCCUCGCUGACUCGCCCCGGAUGAAUACAGCUGUGUGGAGCAGGAGGUAAUCACGCCACCUUUUCUUCCUGGAGGUUCCCCACAUCUGGAAGACAAGACUUCAGAACCAAACUCUGGAUAACUUUAAUAGCUGGAGGUCAGAUAGGAUUGAUUCAUCCCAGACAGCUACUGCGCUAAUAACACUAAAAGUGUUUGUGAAGCUUUCACUCUUCUAAGCCUUAAAAGGUUCUUUGGUUGAUCUUUUCAGGGAACCCCUAAAGGUUCUAAGUAGAACCCUACAUCAGGGAGGCUAGCCAUCAGAAAGGGUUCCAUGGAGAACUCUCUGAAGCUGAUGAAGCUUUUUCUAGGGUUAGUAGAGUGGAUGUAAAAUUCCAAACAGAAAAUAUUUGCAGACUUGAGGGAUCUACCCUUGCCCAUCUGUGGGAACCUAUAAAAGUUCUAGAUUUCUCAUUAGCCAGCUAGAUGCUAAAUAAGAAGCAAAGGUGUGUGAUUAGCUCAGCGUUAAUGAAAUCCACUUCCUGUGAUUCAAGUUUUUUGGGGUUUUUUUCAAUGAAGAAGGAAAUUAGUGUCUGAGGUUCUUCCUGUAAGAAUUAACAUUAGAUAAAAGUCCACAUAACGCAUCUGACUCCUGCAGAACCAUCUGAGUGCCGCGUGCUGAGUUAAAGACACUGGAGGAAAUUUUUUUCCAUCUUUCCCCUGAACCCCCCACUGCAGACUGCCCCCCCCCCACAUGGGCCUUCAGUGGGAACCAGGCUAGUGUGGAGAAACGGUGUGCGCACACACACACACACACACACACACACACACGGUGGAAGUCAGGAAAUCCAGCUAAUCCGUUCCUGAUGCCAUUCGUAAACCUGCUGUUAGAGAAAAUCACCAAUAAAACCAACAACAUUUCAGAAGAACUGAAGAAGUUCACUCAGGCUUUUUACAGCUCUGAGCUCUGACCUGUGCACUGACCUGCUCUCUACACACUCCUAAAAACGGAUAAAAACACAACAUUCACAUGAGGAAGAUUACACAAACGCUUCAUCAGAGUUUCUGAGUUAAUAAACUAAAAUAAUACAUUUAUUCACAAUAAAAAUAUCAACACUUUCUAUAAACUUCUCCACCAUCUGAAAUCUGAUCUGAACGUUAAUGUAAAUAAUUCACUUCAUGCCUCUGAUAGUCUUUACUCAUCAUUAUGGUCAGUUUAUUCUGGACUCUCAGCUUAAACGAGCCAGAAGCUGGAAAGUUUAUUAAAAAAACCCACAUUUAAUAUAUUUAUUCAUAAUAAAGAAGUAAAGGAUCUCCAGACAGCAGCAGGUAUUUCGCGGUCAAUGAUGGUAUAUGGCGUUUGAUGAGAAAAGUUUCUUUAUUUUCUUCUUUAGACUUUUAUUUAGUUUAGCGUGUUUCUGUAACCUGUAACCUAUAACCCCACACCAGCACCACAUGCGUGACACAAACCACAUUUCUCCUCAUAAAGCCCAUGAAGGUCCAGCCCAGUUUUACAGCAGUGCUCUCCACAUCCACCGCUCCAACCCCAAGGCUAAAUCCAGAGCGGAUAAAAAAAACCUCAGAGUCCAAUCUCAAAUAUAAAGCAGACAGGAAGAAAAAAAUCAACUUCCAAACUCUGCAUUUUUCCAAAAUAGUUUAUAAUGACGUCACGCAGGAAGGAGAGCCAGAGCAGUGAAGUGAAAUAAAUCAGACACUCUGAGAGAUCAGAUACGGAACUAAAUCAGACACUGAAUGCUGCCUUGUGAUUCUGUUUCCAUUCAAAAUACAAUAAAGCACAUAACUGGAUCUUAAGGAGCAGUAAUGUAACUUUAAGAUCCAUCACACACACACACACACACACACACACUUCUCAGGUUAAAGAUACACACUGAAGAUACCAAAGAUACCCAAGUACAGUACCUCCGAGUCGUUUACUGUAAUAACGUUACAGAGACGAACUUAUGCACACUUUCAGUGUUAAUAAAAAUCAAAGAAAUUUAAUAUGAACUAGAAAAAAAGUUGGACUUCAGAAACAGGAAGUAAAUAAAGUAUCUCAGAUUCAUGGCUCAGUCAACAACAGAAAUAUCGUCGAGUUUUGGGAUGGUUCAGUAUCGCUGGAGUCAGAAAUAUAGAAAUAUCGCGGUACCGCAGACAGGACGGAGUGCUGAGCAGCUCACCCCCCCCCCCCCCCAACACACACACACACACACCUACUGUAUUCAUUCUAUUUUUAUUUAUGCUGAAUAUUUUAUCUGUUUUUUUUACCUGCUCU